GACGAACCAUGCAAACGUUAUUCGGAAUCACUGGGCUUAAAGCGUGCGUAGGCGGUUCAGCAAGUUGGGUGUGAAAUGCCUCGGCUCAACCGAGGAAUUGCGCCCAAAACUACUGGGCUUGAGGGAGUUAGAGGUGAGCGGAACUCACGGUGGAGCGGUGAAAUGCGUUGAUAUCGUGAGGAACACCGGAGGCGAAAGCGGCUCACUGGGGCUUCACUGACGCUGAGGCACGAAAGCUAGGGGAGCAAACGGG
rnacentral:rRNA from 1 species